AUGGCUCAGAUGAACGCUGGCGGCGUGCUUAACACAUGCAAGUCGCGCGUGAAAGGACUUCGGUACCGAGUAAAGCGGCGCACGGGUGAGUAACGCGUGGAUGAUCUACCCAUGAGUUAGGAAUAACGGGCUGGAAACGGUCGCUAAUACCAAAUACGCUCCGAUUUCAACUUCGGGGGAAAGGUGGCCUCUGCUUGCAAGCUACUGCUCAUGGAUGAGUCCGCGUCCCAUUAGCUAGUUGGUGGGGUAACGGCCCACCAAGGCGACGAUGGGUAGCCGGUCUGAGAGGAUGACCGGCCACACUGGGACUGGAACACGGCCCAGACUCCUACGGGAGGCAGCAGUGGGGAAUAUUGCGCAAUGGGCGAAAGCCUGACGCAGCGACGCCGCGUGAGGGAUGAAAGGGUCCUCGGAUCGUAAACCUCUGUCAGGAGGGAAGAACCGCCACGGUGCUAAUCAGCCGUGGUCUGACGGUACCUCCAAAGGAAGCACCGGCUAACUCCGUGCCAGCAGCAGC
rnacentral:rRNA from 1 species